UGACUUCCUUCUCUCUAGAACAGUCCCUGGGCUCUUCUCUUGAAGCUGAUGCAAAGAGACUCAGAGGCUCGGGGAACUAAGAUCUGCUAGUUCCAUCUGUUCAUCCGGAAACUGGGGACUGAGGAGGGACAAGGCUUUGGCCCUGGUGGCGCAGUGAGUUACCAGCCAGGCUGGGCUAGAGCCCCAAAAAUUAUCUGCUUGGAGCCACACAUGGUUUAUAACAAUCUCUGGCAAAACCUCAGAAAAAAGAUACGCACGCUUUUGUCUUAGACAGAUGUCAGAGGCUGUGGCAGGGCCCUGUGAAAAGGCUCCCCAGGGGGCGUGAGGCUCUGGGAGUGACGACUCCAACAGAGGGACAGCCUCGUGGGGCUUUCUUCUCCCCAGGAGUGUGACACAGUCAAAAAGGAGAAAAAGAGCCACAGGCAAGACAGUUGCCGCUGAAACUGGA